rnacentral:lncRNA from 1 species
GUUCUGGGGGAAACUUUACCUUUAGACGGUGUAAUGGAUAUGCCUCGGUCCUUAUUCUCAUGCUAGUGCAUUAGUCCGUUUUCACACUGCUAUAAAGAAAUACCCGAGACUGGGUCAUUUGUAAAGGAAAGAUGUUUAAUUGACUUGCAGUUCUGCGUGACUGGAGAGGCCUCAGGAAACUUAUAAUUAUGGUGGAAGGGGAAGCAGUUGCAUCUUACAUGGUGAGAGAGAGUGUGUGUAAAGGAAGAACUCUGCAACACUUCUAAAACCAUCAGGGAUCUCAUGAGAACUCACUCACUAUCAUGAGAACUGCAUGGGGGAACCGCCAAUCACCUCCUUCCUUCUACAGGUCAACCUGAUCACACUGCCGAGGCUACAAGCACACAAAGGCUGCAGGCACAUAAACAAAAGAUGAAAAAACAGACUCCCGGGCAGAGAAAACAGGGUCAGAGGUGUUGCCGUGCCUGUGAGGCCUUUGCUGGCCGCCUGCGUUCCGGUGGCAGCCAGUGACCGUCCUGCACCUUCCUGCCGACUGCAGAGACCUCAGGCCACCCUUGGCUCUGACCUGUGUUUCCCAGGCUGCCUCUGCACCUGCCUGCUAAAGCCUUCCUCGGUUUCCUUUGGUCUGGUUCCCCAGAAGCAAACCCGAACUCACUAGAAUUAAGACCAGAAUUUGCCUUCAAGCAGGUGAAACUGACAGGGAAGAGGAAGAAGAGGAAGGGGCCCACCCACAGCCUCAUCUCAGGCAAGGUCCCUGGUGCUGCAGUCUGGCCCCAGAGGAGAAUCCUGAGUGUUCACUCUUUCCAGGGGCCGGGGAGUCAGGCUUUCAGACGCUGUCACACAAGUUACCAGAGUGAAGGGGUAAGACUCCAGGCACCCGGCUUGAAGACACAUUGGCCCGGAGUAAACGCUGUUCUGCCAACUGCGGGUGUUGCAGCCAAUUCCUUUCUAAUCCUUAAUUUCCUUGUCUGUAUGAAGGACAGUCAUGGAAGUUGCAUGAGACAUGCAUCCAAUGUUUGCCACAGAGGAAGUCCUCUGCAGGCAUUAACUCUCAUGUUAUUAAAGCGCCUGCCAUUUUAUGGUGACUUCCUCUUUUCACAUUAAUCUGUCUUAUUCUGCUAUCAUCCUUUUCAUGUUACAAACCUGAAAGCUAAUAAAAGAUUACCAAUUCCACUACAGUAUAUAUUCUAUCCUUGGGUCUUUUAUUUUGGCAUAGUCUAAAGCACUGUGCAGCACAUAGAAGUGUCCAAUAAAUCUUUGGCAAAUUAAAGAGAUUGAAGUAUUAAUAGCAUUAACAUUCAUUCUGUAUUUUCUUUGUGCUGGGCCCCGUCCUAAGUGUUUUACAUGCUUGAACUCCUUUAAUCUUUACUAACCGUCUUGAAACGUAAGUACUGUAUGAAUGAAAUACAUUUUUGAUGAAUUAAAAGAAUGCCGUUUUUGUUGCCAUAGCAACACGGGUCUGAAAAUAUGAAUCCAAGUUUAGAAGCCGUAAUCAUUGUUUUCUGCCUCAGUUUUAAUGUGCUGUUGAAGGUAUUUAUAUGAAAAUAGCUACAGCAAGGGACCUGCCCCCAGGGCGAUUUUUAUCAUCGAUGUCAUUGCUUCCCAAGAUUGAAAGCGGUUGUUCUAAAAUCUGGAUCCCCAAAAUCUGGUAGGGCAGCAUUUCGUGAACUAAGGCACCCAGACCCAGGAGGUCCUUGGUAACAUUUCAGAGACCUGUAAAACCAAAGGAGGAAAGUUGGUAGGUAUUUAGGAAGUUGGGUUUGGAUUCAAUUGUUAAACAACUUAAAACAUUAGUUUCUAGUGAAA